AUGAGUAUAACUUUCCCUGGUAUUUCAGGGCAUGUCUUAGAGAGAUACUUCUUCCAGAAUCCUCCCCUAACCUCCAAGUUCGAGUUAGAGCCUCCCUUUUAUUUCGCCACCACCAGAGAGCAUGUGUCAGGAGGGCCUAGAGGAGAUCCCAAAUUUGUGCCUACUAAGUAUCUCUAGUUGAUAGAGUGUAUCCUUUCCUGACAGCCGUAGCCUUUAAGCCUACAGCAGCCAAGUAAAAUCUGCAUAUAAUCUAUCUGACUGUUGGUUCUUACCAAUUCUAAAACCCAGUCUUCUAUUGGACUAGUGACCACUUUUCACUCAAUAUUAUACUUGCCUGUUUAACUGUUUAAACCCUCCACCAAACCAGAAUUUUUAAGGUGGCAGACAACUCUAUCUUCUUUACUUCUUUUAUUUUCAUUGUGAGUAUAGUGCCUACCACAUAGUAAGCUCUUAUUUAUCUUUGCUGAAUGAUUGAGAAUGAGGAUGAGUUUUUGGCAUGUUGAGCUUGAGGAGCCUUUGAGACGAGACCUUGAGGUGAAGAUACCUGCUAAGCAGCAGGUAUGUAAGACAGAAGCUCAGGAGGUUGUUCUGAGCUGGAGUUAGAGAAGGUGGUUGAUGCCCUGGAUAGGAAUGAGGGCACUAAGUCAAAGUGUCUAGAAUAGGACGUUAUUGACAUUUGGGGCUUGAUAAUUCUUCAUUGUGGAAGGCUGUGCUAUGCAUUGUAGAAUGUUUAGCAGCAUGCUUAAACUCUUCUCACUGGAUGCCAGUAGCAUCUCCCAACUUGUGACAAUCAAAAAUGUCCCCAAAUUUUUUCAGAUGUUGCCUGGAGGGUAAAAUUGGUCCUGGUCCAGGAUGACAAAAGCAUUGGGAGGGCAGCACUUAUUUGUGUGCACGUCCUCAAACACUUGGCUGUGUAGAGCCAAAUGAGGGGCAUUUCCUCAUUGCCUCAUGAUCCCAUCCAUGCUUCUAUCCUGUUUCUUCAGCCCAGACACUCACUUUGAUAAUGGAAGUAGCAAUGUGACAGCAACAGAAGCAGUAAUUAUGACCAUGCUACAUAGAAAAGACAAAACAAAAACAAAGUCAUAAUCUCAGUCCUGUAAAACUGGGGCUCUUUCCCUCAUUUCAUGCAAGAAGAAUGCCCCCUUCCAGAUUGAGAUCCCCAUCUGAGGUGCUACACAGCAACUUUGAACUCUUGGGCCCUUGGAUACAAGCCGAGACUUCUGAUAGAAUGUAGGUCUGCCUGGAGGUGCGGUGGUUCUGAGGAAGUAGUUUGGAGCAGGUGCCAAAUAAGAUAUUUCUUCUGAGGCUCCACACAUCAACCCUUUCCUUUCAUACUUGGAAAUAUGUGCUGAGCUAACCACACAGUAGCCUCAGUCAGGCCAGUGAGUGAUGUUUCCCAAGAUAGAUUUAAUCAUUGGAAUGCCGCACGUACAUUGAAGUCUCAAAAUGAAUUCACUUUGUUUCUUAAAUGAUAGGAACGUGAGAAAUAAAGACACAGGGCAAUUCA
rnacentral:lncRNA from 1 species